rnacentral:rRNA from 1 species
UACGGGGGGAGCAAGCGUUGUUCGGAUUUACUGGGCGUAAAGGGCGCGUAGGCGGCAAUUCAAGUCAUCUGUGAAAUCUCCGGGCUUAACUCGGAACGGUCAGAUGAUACUGCUUUGCUAGAGUGCGGAAGGGGCAAUCGGAAUUCUCGGUGUAGCGGUGAAAUGCGUAGAUAUCGAGAGGAACACCUGAGGUGAAGACGGGUUGCUGGGCCGACACUGACGCUGAAGCGCGAAAGCCAGGGGAGCAAACGGG